AGUUUGGAGGUGUGUAGUGAUGAUCUCUGAAGAUACAUGAAGUUUAGAGGUGUGUAGUGAUGAACUCUGAAGCUACAUGAAGUUUGGAGGUGUGUAGUGAUGAUCUAAUCUGAAGCUACAUGAAGUUUGGAGGUGUGUAGUGAUGAACUCUGAAGCUACAUGAAGUUUGGAGGUGUGUAGUGAGUGAUGAACUCUGAAGCUACAUGAAGUUUGGAGGUGUGUAGUGAUGAACUCUGAAGCUACAUGAAGUUUGGAGGUGUGUAGUGAUGAUCUCUGAAGCUACAUGAAGUUUGGAGGUGUGUAGUGAUGAUGAACUCUGAAGCUACAUGAAGUUUGGAGGUGUGUAGUGAUGAACUCUGAAGCUACAUGAAGUUUGGAGGUGUGUAGUGAGUGAUGAACUCUGAAGCUACAUGAAGUUUGGAGGUGUGUAGUGAUGAUCUAAUCUGAAGCUACAUGAAGUUUGGAGGUGUGUAGUGAGUGAUGAACUCUGAAGCUACAUGAAGUUUGGAGGUGUGUAGUGAUGAACUCUGAAGCUACAUGAAGUUUGGAGGUGUGUAGUGAGUGAUGAACUCUGAAGCUACAUGAAGUUUGGAGGUGUGUAGUGAUGAACUCUGAAGCUACAUGAAGUUUGGAGGUGUGUAGUGAUGAACUCUGAAGCUACAUGAAGUUUGGAGGUGUGUAGUGAUGAACUCUGAAGCUACAUGAAGUUUGAAGGUGUGUAGUGAUGAUGAACUCUGAAGCUACAUGAAGUUUGGAGGUGUGUAGUGAUGAACUCUGAAGCUACAUGAAGUUUGGAGGUGUGUAGUGAUGAACUCUGAAGCUACAUGAAGUUUGGAGGUGUGUAGUGAUGAACUCUGAAGCUACCUGAAGU